CUAAUCACACUGGUUCUAAUCACACUGGUUUGAUCGUAUGCUACAGGGACCACUGUAAAAUGGGACCACUGUAGAAAUGCGCCUAUGUUUGGUCUCAAUUAAAUAGCCUGUAGGCUGCAUUGGUCAGAAAAGCAGUCAACGGGUAAUGAAACCUUUCUGAAGACACUGUAGCUGUUUACUUUGGCUGUAUCUUAAACAAGGGACCAGAGGAAAGGAGGGAUUUGACAAGAAGGCUAAAUGAAAGGAAGAUCUGAGUAGUAGCAGAAGCUAGCUAGCAGACCUUGAUCAAUAACCACUCCGUUUUACAGUGGACACAAUUUUUUUUUUUUUUUUUUUAAUAAGCCAUUUAUAGGGCUGUAAACCUCAGACUCUGCUUGCUGACAGUUUAUCACAUAAUCAAUACACUCAUCAAAGGAGCAAGGAGGGGAGAAAAUACAUCAUCUCAUCCCCGGCUGAGGAAUUUUAUAUACUAAUUACACUCCUCAGCAGUAGGGCUUAGGAUGAUACAGUCAGCGUAUAGCCUCUAAGUAGGGAGAAAGAGCUGAAUUGACAGGUCCGCUCGAUGGUCUCUAUACACGGAGGUCCACUAACACGCUAGUGGCCUCGCCCUUUCAACUCUGAGGGAGAGUAGCGGGGUGAGGGGUUAAAAGCGUUAUUCUGCCUGCUCAGCUCUCUGGAGGAUGGAGGGGUGGGGAGGAGGGGGGAGAUACGGGAGAGGGAGGUGGAGGAGGUUGGGGGUGUAUUGAUCAGAACAGGCUAUUAUCAAACAGGAAGCUGUUUAUCAUGUUGCCUGCUCGCUGGAGGAGCCGAGCUGGCCUGUAAUGGAGCGUGGCCUUCUGCCCAAUGCUUUCUGUCUCUCCAUCUCCCUCGGUCUCUCCCUCUCUUUCUGUCUCUUCCCCUGUCUCUAUCUCUCUCUGUCUCUAUCUCUCUCUGUCUCUGUCUCUCUCUCUCUCUGUCUCUAUCUCUGUCUCUCUCUGUCUCUGUCUCUCUCUGUCUCUCUCUCUGUCUCUGUCUCUCUCUGUCUCUGUCUCUGUCUCACCUGAUGCAUAAUAUUGAUCCCUCCAUCUCUGUCUCUCUCCAUCUCUCUAGUCACUUGUCCUUGUCCCUCUCCCUCCUUCUUCUUUCCGACUCCCCUGUCUCUGGAAGGAUUUUAGCCACCUGAGGCGCGAUGCUGUGAGGAGGGAACUAAAGGGGGGAAGGGGGGACAGGUGGCUCAUCCCCCUCUCUUGGUUGUCAGCAGUGAAAUAUGGCUGCAGUUGUCUCCACACUCCUGAUGACUUUCUUUACCCGACUUUGGAUGGCGGUAGUAGCCAUAGUGGAGGUGGCGGCAGCGUUGCUAGCAAAGCAUUAACGGCGAGGGCCUCCUGCGGGAGAGACAGCUCAUCAAGCUCCCUCUUUCUGGGGAGGCAGCCAAGUGGAGUGUGACAAAUCUCCAUUUACUAUGAGCGCUCCGGCACACAGGGGCAAGGGUAAAAUUAGAAACUCCGACGCUCUGCUCCCCGCUGCUAAUUCCAUUUCGCGCAAAUUAAUAAGUGUUUUUCUUCCCUCCCCCGC
ensembl:lncRNA